rnacentral:rRNA from 1 species
UAGAGUUUGAUCAUGGCUCAGGAUCGAUGCUGGCGGCGUGCUUAACACAUGCAAGUCGAACGGACUCCUAUUGAAACCUAGUGAUUUAUGAGUUAGUGGCGGACGGGUGAGUAACGCGUGGGUAACCUGCCGUAUACCGGGGGAUAACACUUAGAAAUAGGUGCUAAUACCGCAUAAGCGCACGGCUCCGCAUGGGGCAGUGUGAAAAACUCCGGUGGUAUACGAUGGAUCCGCGUCUGAUUAGCUAGUUGGCGGGGUAACGGCCCACCAAGGCAGCGAUCAGUAGCCGGCCUGAGAGGGUGGACGGCCACAUUGGGACUGAGACACGGUCCAAACUCCUAACGGGAGGCAGCAUGGGGGAAUAUUGCACAAUGGGGGAAACCCUGAUGCAGCGACGCCGCGUGAGUGAAGAAGUAUCUCGGUACGUAAAGCUCUAUCAGCAGGGAAGAAAAUGACGGUACCUGACCAAGAAGCCCCGGCUAACUACGUGCCAGCAGCCGCGGUAAUACGUAGGGGGCAAGCGUUAUCCGGAUUUACUGGGUGUAAAGGGAGCGUAGACGGCAGCACAAGUCUGGAGUGAAAUCCCGGGGCUUAACCCCGGAACUGCUUUGGAAACUGUGCGGCUGGAGUGCAGGAGGGGUAAGCGGAA